UCCGAGGGGAGCUCCGGAAGGAGCUGAGAUUGGGCUAGUCAUCCGCCCUGACCCUUGAACCUGAUCCGGGUCAUGCCGGCGGAGGGACUGG
rnacentral:ncRNA from 1 species